UAGAUUUAUAAUAUUUUAAACUUAGAUACCACGAAACCAGUUGAGCUAAAUUUUGUUAUACAUUAGAAUUCGCUACCAGCGUAGUAUAGCUGGGCUGUUAAUGAAAUUUAGGGGUGAUAGACCUUCCAAACCUGGCGAUAUCUUGAUGUUAAGGAAAUAUAUUAAGUAUAGAAGACAACCCAAAAAUGGUGAGGUUUUUGGGGAUAUAUUAUUUCAGUUAUAUAUUUCCUGGAAUUUUUAAAAAAUGCCAGUUUAGAUGUAUUAUAAUAUGGAUUACUUUUAUUUUAUAAAUAAUACUUAAUUGUUAGUAUUAGUAAAAUUUAUUAAUUAAAAAUGAUCUAAUUAGUACUAAAUAUAUUUUUAUAUAAGGAACUCGGCAACCUUACUUCUCGACUGUUUAUCAAAAACAAGCUUUAAGAAAUUAUUUAAAGUUUAACCUGCUCAAUGAUAUUUAAAUAGCCGCAGUACCUUGACUGUGCAAAGGUAGCAUAAUCAGUUGGCUUAUAAUUGAAGUCUAGUAUGAAUGGGAAUCCGGGGAGUGACUGUCUUAAAUAAAGAGUUGGAAUUUAAUUAUUAGGUGAAAAUUCCUAUAAAAUGGAAAAAAGACGAGAAGACCCUAGAAAUUUUAUUAAUUUAAAUUUAUUAAUUUUGUUGGGGCGACAAGGUAACAGACAACUUACCUAAAUAUAUGAGAAACUUUUAAGUGGAUUAAAUAAAUUACUCUAGGGAUAACAGCAUAAUAUUCUAAAGUUUGUGACCUCGAUGUUGGACUAGGGAGUGAAGUGUUUAAAAGAUACUUUAAUAGGCUCUGUUCGAGCCUUAUUCACCCUACAUGAUCUGAGUUCAGACCGG
rnacentral:rRNA from 1 species